UGAAGCAGAUCAAGAACCCAG
rnacentral:miRNA from 1 species